CUUAUACUCCCUCCGUCCCAUAUUAUGUGAUUUUCUAUUACAUAUAUUUAGACAUAUUUUAGUAUAUAGAUACAUUCAUAUUUAGACGAAUCUGAGUGACUUAAUAUGGGACGGAGGGAGUAGAAC
rnacentral:pre_miRNA from 1 species